CCUGAGGGCCCCGCUGAGGCCGGCGGGCCCGACGGGCGGCAGUGUGAGGCAGCGGCGUGUGGGUGCUGAUCCUGACCGCCGGGACUGCUGCUGCUGUUGUCCAUACUCGUGGUCCUUGAGGAGAAGUAAAGGUACAAAAUAAAUCUGUCUGGAGAUGCUGCCAGUUGUGGGUUGUCUUUUGGAAACUUUAUGUACAAGCUCAUGGAAGUGAAAGAUUUCAGUUCCUC